GAUCCUGUGGCUCAACUGGUUGAGUGUUGCCUUUGGGUCAGGAGGUUGAGGGUUCAAAUCCCUGUUAGGGUCA